rnacentral:rRNA from 1 species
GAUGAACGCUAGCGGCAGGCCUAACACAUGCAAGUCGAGGGGUAGAGUUUCUUCGGAGACUUGAGACCGGCGCACGGGUGCGUAACGCGUAUGCAAUCUGCCCUUUACUGGGGAAUAGCCCGGAGAAAUUCGGAUUAAUGCCCCAUAUGCCCACGGAAUCGCAUGGUUCAGUGGGGAAAGUUCCGGCGGUAAAGGAUGAGCAUGCGUCCCAUUAGCUAGUUGGUGAGGUAACGGCUCACCAAGGCGACGA